UUUUUCACCUGUCCCUACAUACAGAGACGCAGUGCAACCAGAACGCAACCACAACUGGAUUACAUACUUUUCCGAGUCAUCUUUCUUUCACUUCGUCCCAUUUUAGCUGAAAACUCUUUUUAUUACUUUGAAAAGCAGCAGCUACUGAUUCAUUAGGACUAUUUCAUUCAGAUGUCAUGUAUGUUUAGUAAUUUAUUUUAAAUUAGCGUAAAUUUUUUUAAAUUCAUCUCGUGCGAAUUUCCUUUCUUUCGUAAUAAAAUUAUGUUGCAGGGUGUCGAUAAUAUUGUACACAACAGUUAUUAUGAUUUUUUUUGUAUACUUGACUUUCUCUUUAUGACGUAAUUAAUUGUUCAAAUGAUCAAUGAUAGUGAUGAUAAUUCUAAAAUUUACAAGGUAGUGACCAUAGUGAUCUAUUUUUAUUUAUACAUGAUACCUAUUAUAUUUCUAGAAAUGAAGCAAUAUGCUAUGAUGACCAAGUACUAAUGUACAUAUUAAAGCAACAAUAAUGAAUCUGAAUCUUAUACAUAGAGAUUAGAUUUCUUUCUAUUUAAUAGGUACAAGUUUCUAUUAUACAGUUAAAUAUAAAAGUUGAUCAACACAGUGUUUUAUGAGAAGGGAUGAGAACUUAUUCUUAAAAUGAAAAUAUCAGGACAUUGCUAAUUUUGGAUAUAGAAAAUGAUAAAAAAAACAACUUUUAUAUUUCAUACAACUAAUGAGCAAUACCAGCAAAGUUGUUGGUGCAUCAAAAAUUAUUGAUGACCGUUUUCCCACGAAAUAAAUACUUGCGUAAAUAAGAGAAUUUUGAACUUGGCAGUCUGGCAUUUCUUAGCCUGUUGAGACUUUCAAAAGAUAUUUUAACGCUGAAAUUUUGGAGAAAGACUAGUCUGCAUGACCUUGAUGAUAAAAAACCGCACAAAACCAUCAUCGCUACAAGAUAAUCGAGAAUCUCACCAGCCUUGGUACAAAUAUAAUUUUACUGAUCGUGAUUAAGAAUUCGAUCCGAGCGUAGCGUAAAUCAUUACGUAAAAUGAUGAAUCAUAAAACAGGCUGGCGACAGAGCUGUACUUUCGUUUGACGGCAAAUACAGUGUUCGCGAUCAUUGGUGACAAAUAUCUGCGCGCACCAUGGCUUUGCGAGAGAGUAAUCAAAUCGACACAGUCGAGCUCUCUAAUUAAAUUAACAUAAGAACGUGAUCGAGGUGGGGAAGGAGAUGAGCAUAUAUCAUUAAGGAAAAGCAAGUUGGCGUACAAAAUAGCGACGUACGUCGCGUGGCUUUCACAAAAC